rnacentral:rRNA from 1 species
AAUAUUGCGCAAUGGACGGAAGUCUGACGCAGCGACGCCGCGUGAGCGAUGAAGGCCUNCGGGUCNUNAAGCUCUGUCCUUGGGGNAGAAGGUCUUCGGACUUGACGGUACCCAAGAAGAAAGCCCCGGCUAACUACGUGCCAGCAGCCGCGGUAAUACGUAGGGGGCGAGCGUUGUCCGGAAUUACUGGGCGUAAAGCGCGCGCAGGCGGCUUGUUAAGUCAGGUGUCAAAAUGCGGGGCUCAACCCCGUAUCGCACUUGAAACUGGCAGGCUUGAGUGCAGGAGAGGGAAGUGGAAUUCCUAGUGUAGCGGUGAAAUGCGUAGAUAUUAGGAGGAACACCAGUGGCGAAGGCGACUUCCUGGACUGUAACUGACGCUGAGGCGCGAAAGCUAGGGGAGCAAAC